GCUGCUCGAAACUUUGCACACCUCUUCGUGGUGAGCAGCAGGCAACGAUCUAUUAUGAUCGGCGAAGAUGUGAAA
rnacentral:ribozyme from 1 species